UGCAAGUCGAACGGUCUCUUCGGAGGCAGUGGCAGACGGGUGAGUAAUGCAUGGGAAUCUACCGUUCUCUACGGAAUAACUCAGGGAAACUUGUGCUAAUACCGUAUACGCCCUUUUGGGGAAAGAUUUAUCGGAGAAUGAUGAGCCCAUGUUGGAUUAGCUAGUUGGUAGGGUAAAGGCCUACCAAGGCGACGAUCCAUAGCUGGUCUGAGAGGAUGAUCAGCCACACUGGGACUGAGACACGGCCCAGACUCCUACGGGAGGCAGCAGUGGGGAAUAUUGGACAAUGGGCGCAAGCCUGAUCCAGCCAUGCCGCGUGAGUGAUGAAGGCCCUAGGGUUGUAAAGCUCUUUCACCGGUGAAGAUAAUGACGGUAACCGGAGAAGAAGCCCCGGCUAACUUCGUGCCAGCAGCCGCGGUAAUACGAAGGGGGCUAGCGUUGUUCGGAUUUACUGGGCGUAAAGCGCACGUAGGCGGACUUUUAAGUCAGGGGUGAAAUCCCGGGGCUCAACCCCGGAACUGCCUUUGAUACUGGAAGUCUUGAGUAUGGAAGAGGUAAGUGGAAUUGCGAGUGUAGAGGUGAAAUUCGUAGAUAUUCGCAGGAACACCAGUGGCGAAGGCGGCUUACUGGUCCAUUACUGACGCUGAGGUG
rnacentral:rRNA from 1 species